GAUGAACGCUGGCGGCGUGCCUAAUACAUGCAAGUCGAGCGAACAGACGAGGUACUUGCUCCUCUGACGUUAGCGGCGGACGGGUGAGUAACACGUGGAGAACCUACCUAUAAGACUGGGAUAACUUCGGGAAACCGAAGCUAAUACCGGAUAAAAUGUUUAACCGCAUGGUUUAACAGUGAAAGACGGAAUUGCAGUCACUUAUAGAUGGAUCCGCGCGUCAUUGGGUAGUUGGGAAGGUAACGGCUUACCAAGGCAACGUUGCGUGGCCGACCGGAGGGGGGGAUCGGCCACACGGGAAUUGAGCCAGGGUCCAGACCCCUACGGGAGGCGGCAGUGGGGAAUUUUCGGCAAUGGGCGAAGGCCUAACGGAGCAAGGCCGCGGGGUUGAAGAAGGUCUUCGAUUCGUAAACCUCUGUUAUAAGGGAAGACGAAAUGUGUAAGUAACUAUGCACCUCUUGACGGUACCUAAUCAGAAAGCCACGGCUAACUACGUG
rnacentral:rRNA from 1 species